CCCUUAGAGUUUGAUCCUGGCUCAGGAUGAACGCUAGCUACAGGCUUAACACAUGCAAGUCGAGGGGCAGCAUGAUUGAAGCUUGCUUCAAUCGAUGGCGACCGGCGCACGGGUGAGUAACACGUAUCCAACCUGCCGAUAACUCGGGGAUAGCCUUUCGAAAGAAAGAUUAAUACCCGAUAGUAUAGUAUUUCCGCAUGGUUUCACUAUUAAAGAAUUUCGGUUAUCGAUGGGGAUGCGUUCCAUUAGAUAGUUGGCGGGGUAACGGCCCACCAAGUCAACGAUGGAUAGGGGUUCUGAGAGGAAGGUCCCCCACAUUGGAACUGAGACACGGUCCAAACUCCUACGGGAGGCAGCAGUGAGGAAUAUUGGUCAAUGGACGAGAGUCUGAACCAGCCAAGUAGCGUGAAGGAUGACUGCCCUAUGGGUUGUAAACUUCUUUUAUACGGGAAUAAAGUGGAGUAUGCAUACUCCUAGUAGUACCGUAUGAAUAGAUGGUA
rnacentral:rRNA from 1 species